UCAGAAAGAGGCUACUACUAGCUAUCUAGCUUCAUGUUUAACUCUUCUUGGUUUGUGUUUUUGUGUGCUUGUUGGAGUUGUUAGGAGGAAGAGAGGGGUGAGAGGUGAGGCUGACAGAAGAGAGUGAGCACACAUGGUGACUUUCUUGCAUGCUGAAUGGACUCAUGCUUGAAGCUAUGUGUGCUCACUUCUCUCUCUGUCAGCCAUUUGAUCUCUCUUUCUCUCUUUCUCCCUCAUGUGUUAUACUGUUCUCUCAUAUCUUCUUCUUUGAGGUAGUAAUAUACUUGAGCAAAUUAAGCUGCUUAAUUAUUUGUGUAUGAUGAUCAGCUGCUGAUCCGGCCUCAUUUCUUGCAUAUAUGAGAUCAGUUUCAACCACAACCACAUACAUGCUUGUUCAUUUUUUUUCACAAAGAAAGAGAACAGUUUAAUUUAAUUUCUUGGGGUUUUUGGAUCAGUUAAUUUGUCUUGAGAGGGGAAGAGAUCUCUAUGGGUUUUGGAGGUCUGACAGAAGAGAGUGAGCACACACGGUGCUUUCUUAGCAUGCAAGAGCCAUGCUGGGAGCUGUGCGUGCUCACUCUCUAUCUGUCAGCCGUUCACCAUGCCCAAUAUGAUUAAUCUCCUUCUCUCAGUUGACAGUAAUUUCUUUGCCAGAUCUCCUGUUAAAUUUUCUGCCUAGCUAGCUAUUAUGCACAUGCUUAUUAUGAUGAGCCUGCCAAUAUCAUCUCCACGGCAAAACACAAACUAGCUAUGAUUUGAUUCAUUAUAUUUCUUUUCGCUGUUUAAUUAAUUAUAUGCAG
rnacentral:precursor_RNA from 1 species